GGCUGAGGCCUACCUAGUUAGGUUCUCCUCUACAUUUACCUUUCAUUUACUGUUGAAUAAGCUGUACUGUAGUUACUGCAGUAGCGAGUUUAUCCUCUACUAUAAAUGCAUUGAUUGUACUUAACUGUAGUUACUGUGGUUGUUUGAGGAGAGUGUGUGUGUAUGUUAGUGUGACUACUGGUCGACACACUUACCUCUUCCACUUCCGUUUACUAUACUGUACUGUAGUUACUGUGUGUGUGUAUUGAGUGUGUUUUGUGUGACAGUGUAUGUCUGUGUAUGUCUGUGUCUUUGUGCCCUGAAUGAGGAGACAUGCUUAUUUGUUUGUUUAUUGUUAGUGCGAGUCUUUAGGCCUGUAUGUCUCUCUUCCUGUCUCACCCCAACACUUUGUUUUGUCUCCUUAAACGUCCCCUCAUUGUCCUUUUCUCACAGAGGUAGCCUGCUUCCCCCAAUCUCCCUUUGUUUACGUCAGUAGAGAGACAGAGAGAGAGAAAAGGCGGGCGAGAGAAGAGGGCUUGCGUUUUCUGAUUGUUCUGUUCUGGGUUGGCAGCCAGAUCGAGCCACAGCCCCGCUGGUGUGGGAAGACGUCUACAACAACGUCUUGUGUUUUGUUUACGGCGGAAAGGAAGAAACAAGGGCGGAAAAACCACGGUGAAACUCUGAUCUGCAUCGCCAUGUCGAGUGUCCUCUCAGCACAGCCAGCCAGCUCUUGUGCUGUUCUGUUAAGAGCAACACGGACUGUAUAGCAAAACAAACCAACGCUCCCUAUUCACUAGCAUCACAAUAAAGCCACCUUCCCUCGGCGUUACAAACUGCUGCGGGAGAACCAACCAGAAAUCGGACGGCUAAACAAGCAAUGCGAUUGACAUGGUCGGGGGAGGGAAUAGAGGAGAGAAGAGGACAGCAGACAAGGGUCAAGGCUCUGUCUGUGGCUCAUUAUUUGUAGUAUUUUAUUAGUGAGCGUCAGGCGAUCGCUUGGCCCGGAAGUGAUAAAUGUCUGCCAACACUGAACCCUGUCUGUGACUUAGACAUACAGAGAGAGAGAGACACACACACACACACACACACACACACACACACACACACACACACACACACACACACACACACACACACACACACACACACACACACACACACACACACACACACACACACACACACACACACACACACACACACACAAGACUUUCAGAUCAAUGGAUCGUCAUCCUAUAGCUCCUCCUAGAUGUUUUUCAAGGGUUGAUCUGUUUGACUUAAAUCCGUCUUUUCAAGACGGUUGGAAAACACCUUUUAUUCAAGAAGAGCGUGUGUCAGUUCCAGUGUGUGUUCUCUUUAGAGUGCUCGUCAUACUUUGGAACCAUAUCUCAAUAUCUUUUUCUGCGACUAUAAGAACUGUAUGAUUAUGAGAAGAUGUUUCCAACGCGCCUCUAAUUCAAAGCGCAGCACCACAAUACAUUUGAAAUCUCUCUGAAGGAGGUGUGAAAAGUAAAAGCGUUGCCAUUUUCUUUGUCAUGACCUCUCUCUAUUGAGUGUGGUUGUGAAGCACAUGGUACCAGACAGCAGACACCGCUCCGUACGGAUAGUAGUAAUGCCUUGGACGGGAAGAGUGUGUGUGUGUGUGUGUGUUGUCUGGUGCCAGACAUCACUCUGUCCCGUCCAGGAUCAUAGUAAUAAUGGCUUGGACGGGAAGAGUGUGUGUGUGUGUGUGUGUGUGUGUGUGUGUGUGUGUGUGUGUGUGUGUGUGUGUGUGUGUGUGUGUGUGUGUGUGUGUGUGUGUGUGUGUGUGUGUGUGUGUGUGUGUGUGUGUGUGUGUGUGUGUUGUCUGGUGCCAGACAUCACUCUGUCCCGUCCAGGAUCAUAGUAAUAAUGGCUUGGACGGCAGUGUGAGAAAACCCCAGAAAAUCUGUAACUCUCCCUCCCUGCAUUGAUUCCUCGCUCUCUCCGUCCGUUUCUAAAACUGACCACAGGAAGGAUUUUCAAAUAAAAAGUGGUAUUUGGUCUCAUCAAAAACGCCCAAACGCUCAAAAUGUUUGAUUUAUGAAGGGAAAAGUUUGUGUUUCUGAGAUGGGAAAAGUGUGUUUGUGUGUGUUAGCGUGUGUCUGUGUGUGUUAAUGUGUGUAUGUGUGUGUUAGUGUGUGUCUCUCCUCUUCCUGACAGCUCAGUUCUGUGGCUAGACUUGAUGAACGAUCCUGGACGUGUUAAUGUUUUGACGAGGUCCAAAACCCAACCCAACCCAGCCAGUUGAUUGAUUCACCAGGUUCCUGCGGUUCCCGCCAGUUCUCCGUUCUCCUUGUUAUUUUUCCCAUGAAGAUAAUCUGUUGUUAAUUACUUCCUGGAUCCCUGACCAACAUGUCGCGUCUCGUAUGAAUGACAUCAGGAGGGGCAAGUGUUUAGGUCGGCAUUGGUGAAGUACCGUCUGGUUUUAUUGGUGUUUCAUGACAUAAAAAAUACGAGGCGAGAAGGGAGAUAAGGGAGGACAGAGAAGGGGGAGUGAGACGGCCUCAUUGCCGUUGAGGAGAUCUAUUGUGUUCAGUGGGAAUAAGGCCCAGUAGAAGCAAUCUUCCCAUGCAGAGCUGGUUUGGCAAUGAGCGCCCUCAAUCCACCGCUGACUGACUGAGGCCCUGUGUUGUCUUCAGCUGGACAUGCAGGAUGAACAGAGAGCCAUGUCUGCAGGACAGUAGGGACAUGCUGUCACACCAACACCAAUACGAAAGUAGAGUCCGAGCAGAGGAGGGUGAAGAGAGGAAGACGCCUCGCUGUUUAACAGAGAGUGUUCUCAUCUUUGGAAUAAAGUGUGUUUCGGAAGGUCCACUAACAGAACCGGGCCAAAAGCCGCCGUCGCUAAGACACACAACCCCUUGCUGAGUGUGACAGACAUAAACCAGGCCAACACGGUCGGCAGGAACCCGGACUCCAUUAAUCCAACAGAACAUAAUUACAGAGACUCCAGACAGAGAUUUGGAAUGACUGUGUUGAGUCAACAUUUGCUUUUCACUCAAAGUCAAAGUUGUAUUUUGGUGUCCCAAUAACAUUGGAUUUUGGUUGGUCUCCCCUGUUAAAUGACUGACCAGUAUCAUUUUGUUUUGUUAUUACUCUGUUGGGAUGCGGUUCCCUUCACGGCUUCUCUUUGUUCUAGAAACAGAAUUUGGCCUCUUUGGGUUUUACAUAACGAUCAUAAGCCUCCUUCUCUUUGUCCGGAUCGGAGGAAAAAAACAUCUCUGUCUAUCUAGAUACCCACUUCCCCGUCGUUGUGUGAUGGACUGUGAGUGAGUGAGUGAGUGAGUGAGUGAGUGAGUGAGUGAGUGAGUGAGUGAGGAGUUAGAGUGUUGGAGAUGUCUGGCUGGUAAACAGAUUAUUCCAGUGAAAUCGGGGGCCUCGGAAUCGUGACGGAACUGAGAGACAAACAAAGCUGUUUUUUGAACCCGUUUGGCCAUUCCUCUGGUCUUAUCUCCUUUCUUUAUAAUUACUCUCCCUUUCUCUCUCUCUCUCUCGCUCAACUCCAAAGAAAUGUAGAGUGUUUAGAGAAAUUGAGAAGGGCAUUUGUUUUGAAGAAAGAACUCAAAACAGCCUUCUUUAUUCCUUGGAUACAGUUUGUUUUGAAACCCACUUUCCCUGUUAAUCCGUUCAGAAUCAACGGCGGACCGACAGCUUUUUUGGCCCCAAAAUGUUCUAGAAAUUCACAAAAGGAAAAGACGGAUCUUAUUUCAGUUUGUGUCUGAGAAUAAAUGGCUGCACAUGUUUUCUACAUUACUAAAUACCCACUUACCUUUUCAUGGGUGUGUUAUUCACAGUCUAAUAAAACAUGUAUCAUUGUGAGUUAUGGAUACAGUUGGUUACCUUGUUAGUAUCGUAAUUUAUAUUUCCUCAACGUUGAGGUUACAUAAAUCUGCUUUCUCUGGGAACGGGAGCUGGAUAAUAGAUUUCCCACAUUUUAAACUAUAAAUAGACUUACAUUCACUUUAAAUUCAUAGAUAUUUUCACUUUAUGAAAAUAUACAUUUGUGGGGUUAUGUACUAUAGAAAUAAUGAGAGUUAGUCAAUUUGCAAUAUAAUUACUAUGAAUGUGGUUCUAUCAUUCCCAGAGACAGAAAGUGUGUUUGUACAGUAUUGUAGUUACUGGCUGAUGGCGACUGGUCAGGUAUUUUUAGGUGAACACUUUAUUAGGUUUGAACAAAUUAACGACUGUUAAAUUCAAAUGAGUGUAGUAGGUUUGCUACUUACCUAAGCAUUAUUUUCUUCCACUGACUAGGCCCUUUUGGGUUUUAUUUGGAAAAAUAUUGAGUAAGGGAGAGAGAGGGAGAGAGAGAACAAGACAAAAGAACGAGAGAAAAUGAUCAAGAGAAAAAAAGAGGUAUUCCUAAUUGUGCCUUGCUCAGUCCCAGCCGGGAGAGCAUGUUGAGGGUGUUGAGCCAGGGAACAUGGCCUAUUCAGCGGGUUCAUCUUUGGCAGUCCCCCUGUUCCCCAAUACUGCCGCUUGGCUAGCUACUCACACAGCUUGGCUAAGGCUAACACUGCUAGCUACUCACACAGCUUGGCUAAGGCUAACACUGCUAGCUACUCACACAGCUUGGCUAAGGCUAACACUGCUAGCUACUCACACAGCUUGGCUAAGGCUAACACUGCUAGCUACUCACACAGCUUGGCUAAGGCUAACACUGCUAGCUACUCACACAUCUUGGCUAAGGCUAACACUGCUAGCUACUCACACAGCUUGGCUAAGGCUAACACAAUAGCACAUAUUCUGGUUUUAGAGCCCGACCGAUAUAUAUUGUUUCAGCUGAUAAGGGCCUUUUGAUGCUAUAUAUCGAUAUCGGACGAUAAUUCCACAAUAACUGAUAUUCAAUAAGUAGGAUUAAGAAAAGGGAAUCUAAGGCUCAUCUGAACACCAGCCGGCAUUCUCAUGAUGUGUCAUUAUUGUCACAGUGUUAGAAAUCAACAUUUGAAGCAUAUUUCUUGGAUAAUUGCUGUUUUGGAUGGCAAUUUAUGAGAACUUUUACAUUUCCUUUCAAUAAAACAGCAUAUUGACAGAUAUAUCGGUAAUGGUGAGUAUUGCCCACCAAAAGAUCUGAAUCUGUAUCGGACACGGAAAAAAAACAUAAUGGUCGGCCUCCAGUUUUUACUGAACGAAAAGAAAGAAAAAAAAUCACCUUUUUAUUUGUGGAUGAAAGAAUGAAGACUGGUGAUGGAUGUAGUCUUAAUUCUGGGGAGGGAGGAUUGGGGGGAUGUCUAGUGGUGAGAAGUGAGAGGAAUACUAGUGGUGAGAAGUGAGAGGAAUACUAGUGGUGAGAAGUGAGAGGAAUACUAGUGGUGAGAAAAGAGAGGAAUACUAGUGGUGAGAAGAGAGAGGAAUACUAGUGGUGAGAAGAGAGAGGAAUACUAGUGGUGAGAAGUGAGAGGAAUACUAGUGGUGAGAAAAGUGAGAGGAAUACUAGUGGUGAGAAGUGAGAGGAAUACUAGUGGUGAGAAGUGAGAGGAAUACUAGUGGUGAGAAGUGAGAGGAAUACUAGUGGUGAGAAGUGAGAGGAAUACUAGUGGUGAGAAGUGAGAGGAAUACUAGUGGUGAGAAGUGAGAGGAAUACUAGUGGUGAGAAGUGAGAGGAAUACUAGUGGUGAGAAGAGAGAGGAAUACUAGUGGUGAGAAGAGAGAGGAAUACUAGUGGUGAGAAGAGAGGAAUACUAGUGGCGGCGUCGGUGGCGGUUGGUUUCUGGCACCACGUAGCUUAGCUGCUCUCUGUGAAUGAUGCCAAAUGUUCACACACUAUCCUUGCCAACCUCCGUCCUUCUGAUCCUCUCUUUCUUUUCUCUCUUUCUUUUCUUUAUGUUGUCCCCCUUUUGUUUAUAUUCUUCUUCACGGUUCAGAUGAAUGCCCUCUCAAAGGCUCAUUAGCCCCAUGGGCCGACUGAACUGUUUGUCAGUGGCAAAAAAAAUAUUUCUGAACAACAAUUUCGGGAAUGAAAAAUGUAGGUAAAAAAAAUCCUCAAAGAAAAGGUUUUAUUAUGCCUCUUUAUUUUGGUGUUGUUCAUCGGGAGGUUUUACUGUCGUUAGUUUUCUCUGGUUUUGAUCAAUUCUCUGACCUUCAUAUAUUCUGUGGAAACUGUUCAUUCAUUAUUAUUAUUAUUAUUAUAGACAAGGAGCGAUAAUUAGUGAACAUAUUAGCAAAUACUGUUUUAACCUAAUCAUAUUGAUUAGAAUUUUAACAAAGGCCUAAUUAUUAAAUACACCAAAUGAUGUAUCAUAGUGGUUUGGCUGAUAUUCAGGUAUCAUUAUCGCCGUAAUUGUAUAUUUUCUCUCUCUCAAUCUCUCUCUUUCUCCAAGGAGCCGUUUUCUCUCCUUGUUCCUUUUGCUUCCUUCUCAGAAUCCUCUUUAGAAGACAACCUUGGUAAGGGCAUCGUUUGGUGUUGGUUACGCCGUGAGAAGGAGAGAGGUUUAAAGCCUAGCCGUGCGAGAGGGUGGUAGCUAGCUAGGGCUAAAGAGCAAAGCACCACACCAGAACAAACGGCAGAGAAGCAUCAUUUGGCAGAGAGUCAGUCUGUGGAAGAGGGUACGCCUCAAAUCAGUUUGGACACAGAUCUGGGACACUAGACGGAAGAGAAGAAAGAGGGAUGAAAUGGGAUAGAAAGAGGGAUGAAAUGGGAUAGACAGAGGGAUGAAACAAAAAGAGGGAUGAAAUGGGAUAGAAAGAGGGAUGAAACAAAGAGGGAUAAAACGGGAUAGAAAGAGGGAUGAAACGGGAUAGAAAGAGGGAUGAAACGGGAUAGAAAGAGGGAUGAAAUGGGAUAGACAGAGGGAUGAAACAAAGAGGGAUAAAACGGGAUAGAAAGAGGGAUGAAACGGGAUAGAAAGAGGGAUGAAACGGGAUAGAAAGAGGGAUGAAACGGGAUAGAAAGAGGGAUGAAAUGGGAUAGACAGAGGGAUGAAACAAAGAGGGAUAAAACGGGAUAGAAAGAGGGAUGAAACGGGAUAGAAAGAGGGAUGAAACAGGAUAGAAAGAGGGAUGAAACAGGAUAGACAGAGGGAUGAAACAAAGAGGGAUAAAACGGGAUAGAAAGAGGGAUGAAACAGGAUAGAAGAGGGAUGAAACAGGAUAGAAAGAGGGAUGAAACAAAGAGGGAUGAAACGGGAUAGAAAGAGGGAUGAAACGGGAUAGAAAGAGGGAUGAAACGGAUGAAACAAAGAGGGAUGAAACGGGAUAGAAAGAGGGAUGAAACGGGAUAGAAAGAGGGAUGAAACAAAGAGGGAUGAAAUGGGAUAGAAAGAGGGAUGAAACGGGAUAGAAAGAGGGAUGAAACGGGAUAGAAAGAGGGAUGAAAUGGGAUAGGGAACAACAGGAUGGGGGGGGGCACACAUGAACGUCUGUGUUUGAGUGUGUGUGCUGUAUGUGGUGGUGCGUGUGCAUCGCCUCUGUGUGUCUUCUACUGUCCCUCAACCUCAAUGAGGACUAGACAAACCACGGGGCCAGUGGACGGUGGUAGAUACAUGGUUAUGAAGGAAACAAGGCUCUGUCCUCCUCAAAAGGCUCCAUUCAUGAUGAACUGGAGAGAUUUCUCUCUGAGGGGAGAGAAAAGAGGGUUCAGGGGACAACACGUGUUUUCGAUAACAGGGUGAGUUUUAUACUGGGGCA